AGGUCCAUGCUCACCAGAAUAAAAUAAAGAAAAAAAUGGCAAUAGAAAUUUACACUUAUUUUUUGGGAAAGGGGAUACACUAAAACAGAGUCUUAUGUAGCACAGGCUGGCCUUCAACUUACUAUGCAACUGGGAUAGCCUUGAACUCCUGAUGCUGCCUAUACCUGUGUACUGCCAUGCCAGGCCUCAUUUGAUGAUUUUGGUUUUUGUUUUGUUUUUCAAGACAGGGUUUCUCUAUAGCUUUGGAGCCUAUCCUGGAACUCGCCCUAAGACCAGGCUGGCCUCGAACUCACAGAGAUCUGCCUGCCUCUGCUUCCGAGUGUUGGGAUUAAAGAAUACCUCAAGUAUCCAUCUACACUUGCUGUCCUGCUCUGAGGAAAUGCAGUUCUAAAGAAGAGAGACCGCAGAAAUCACAGAGGGAAGAGAUGAGGGGAAAAUCAAUUUGGUGCAGUUUUCACAAACCUUUAAAAUAGGGCGAUUUAAGUGAUGAUGGGGUUUCAUGACCAGCGGCGGCUCUGAAGGGAAUGCUCACGUCUCCUGGCAUUUCUCUGAGUAGGUGGGAAAGGAAGGAAAAUGGUUUUUUUCCUCCCCUUCUACUUAGAAGAAAAUGGAGGCAAUGAAAAGCAAACGUCUCCCAUAAUGUCCCAUUACGGAGGACAAAUGAAAUGCUGCUCCCUGUAGCUCCUCAGCCAGGCUCUGGGCAGGCCUUCUCCUCCAAGCUCCAGAAACUAAGUAUUCCCCAACACACCUGGCACUGCUGUUACCAUGGUGACACUUUUGUAUUACCCUCACCUUUUGUGUUCCUUAACUUGGGGGCGGAGGCUGGUGCAGGGCACAGUUGAGUUUUCAUAUUUCUCCCCGGCUUCUGUAAAAUGGAAGAAGAGAAGAGGGGACAGGAUCCUGAUCUCCUCUGCCUGCUUCCUUGGCUCCUUGUUUCUCCGUUCCUCUACUAGACCUCACUGGCCAAGGCACCUAGAAUGGAGGCAGAGGAUGGAUGGAAAAAGCUUUGAUGGAGCCCAAUAGACCUGGGUUCAAAUUUGCAACUCCUCCAGGAAUCCAUGUGUCUUCAUUCAAACCUGCCCUGGCUCAAGUACUGGCAGAUUGGAGGGAAAGUCAAGAGGACAGAUAAUAUGAGCCAGAAUGAAAAGCAACAAAGCAGGUACUGGUCCCCCCUCUCUGUACCUGGGAUUGAAUUUAAGGCCUGAAGCUCACUAGCAAGCUCUGCAUUACUAAGCUGAGCUAUUCACACACACACACACCUUUUUUCUUUUUUUUUCAUUUUGAGAUGGUGUCUCACUGCAUAGCCCAGGCUCUCUUUGAACUAGCAAUCCAACCUCACCCUGCCACCAGGCCUCUCUAGGUGCUGUCUCUCUCGAUUCCUGGGAAAACAGAAAGAUGUAAAACCCAAACUGAACUGAGAGGGACUCAGGAAAAGCCAAGCACUUAGGAGUUAGGUAUGUGGGCUCAACAAAACUAAGCGUGAGAAGAGCCAGGCAUAAGGGUGCUUCCUAUAAUCCUGGGACUGGGGAGACCAAGGCAGGAGGGUAAUGAGUUUGAAGCCAGCCUGGAAUUUUCAGCAAGUCCCUGCCUAGAAAAACAACCAUCUGAGAAAUGAUGGUGCACGCCUUUAAUCCCAGCACUCAGGAGGCAGAGGCAGGCGGAUCCCUGUGAGUUCCAGGCCAAGUUUGGUCUACAGCACGAGUUCCAGGACAGCCUCCAAAGCUACAGAGAAACCCUGUCUUGGAAAAACAAACAGACAAACAAAACAACAACAAAAAACAACACACACACACACAAAACAUUCACACUCAGCACACAGACCCAGACUAUCCAAAACUCCACUUGGUAACCUUAGAUAGCUCUGAACUUCAACUCUUCAGUGUCUUUACUUGUAAAAGGAUGGUCCUAAUCAUACCAAUCCCGAGGAGUCUUGCUGGGAUUCUAAGAUACGGCAUAUGAACCAGCAGGGUCAGUAUACAAAAGGUGGCUGCUUCCGAAUCAGCGCCCCUGACCAAGCAGCCACUGUUUCCGCAGCUGGACUGCAGCUGGCACCGCAGUUACUGUUUCACGUGUAUGGAGCCUGGCUUCUGGCUGCCUCUCCAGAAACACAGCUUCCCAGCCUUUUUGGACUCUUUCACUUUUGCCCUCUGCAGCUUUCAAACUCCAGGUCCAGAAGGCCACAUACAAUUCACACCUGAGGCCCAUCUUCAGCGUUCCCCUCCUCACCAGCAUUAGCCUCUCCCCUAGACCAGGGGGCCCAGAGAAGGCCAGGGGAUGGUCCAAGGCCUUAAUUGCCUCCCCGCCCCUCCAGGACAAAGAGGGAGGGCUUCUCAGAGACGGAGAUGGGAAAGGGCAGUGUGCGCCAGUCCUGAUGCAAUCGUCCUCGGAUUUCUUGGCCCACUUCCUCCUUCUCAAGUGUUUACUGAAGCCUGAAUUCCACAGAAACCUCUGCAAGUGUGCACUGACAACAGUGGCGGGCAGGAUGCAUAACUGCCCUGGCUCCAGGGACAGUUUAGGAAGAAAUGAUCCUGUGCCCUGGGCUCAGGGACGCUGGCGAGAGAAAUCCAGUGUCGGGAAUCCAGUGGGAGGGGCGAGGAUGGUAGGCUGAAGGAAGAGGCACCGCUGAGGGGCUGACUUCUGCUUCGUGCCAGAUCCAGCUUCCAGAACCCGCUCUGGGGAAGCUAAUAG
rnacentral:lncRNA from 1 species